CAUAGGUGUCUUUUAGUAAAAAAGGAAAACAUUUCUAAUGAGAUCAUAUGGAAACAGGUUGGAAUUUUUAGCCAUGGAAUAUGUAUUAGAUGUAAAGAAGGAUUUUCUGCAAUAACACAAUAAACUAUUUCCUUCCCUCACAAAGUCAUAAAACAGUCAUAAAAGCACUUUCCCAAGGUCCAAAAGAAAAUUAAUUGGAGUUCAGGAUCAACUUCUCAGGGUUUUGUUGUUUCCUUAUUAAUUUGGCUUU